UUUCAGUUAAUUGUAUGCCAUUUGCAUUUAAUUGAGCAGCGUGGCUGGAGAAAACUGCGUGGCUGGAGGAGCAAUUGAAAAAUGGAUAAGAUAAUAAAACAACAAAAUGAUCAAAUUAUGAAGCUGCAGGCCCAGUUAUUGGAACAACACAAAAUAUUAGAUAACAACAAAGGUAAGGAUGGUAGGCCUAAUACGUAAUGAUUCUAUUUAUUUGCUUUUAUUCAUUCGGGUUUUGUAGCUCAAAUUUUGAGUCUACAAGCUCAGCUAGGGGAAAAGAACAAAUUGGAACGGAACAGUUUCCAAACAGUGAAGGAGGUUUUUCAAAACUCAUUCCUAACUGAACGUGAGGAUGAGUUGGCAUUAGGUGAACACAGUCAGUUAUUCAGUCCACCACCUGACAGUGUGUUAAAUUUAAAUUCUGUUAGUGCUGCACUAAAAGAAUCGUUAGUAAUAAGUCCAUGCAGCGAAGGAACUGAAGAAUUGUGGUACUGUAUUUGGGCGGAAAAUGGGUGUGGUAUGGAAACACAGAAAUGGCAUGAGUUCAACCUAAAACAUGGAUUAGAAUUUUAGCGGGGGGAUCAAGUCAAGUCUGGAAGUGUUACAGGAUGGAAGAGUGAGCCUACAGAUGAAAAAACAGAGAGUGCAUUACCAUUAAGGUGUGAGGUAAAUUAAUAGAGUAAUGCAAAUUGCCUAAUGAGAAGUACCAUCUUGUGUUAAUGAAUCCAGCACAACAGCAAUCCUUUAUA